rnacentral:lncRNA from 13 species
GACCUUAGUUCCUUUUUAUGUCUCUAUUUUAGUUUGGUCAGGGCGUGAGUUGGGGUGGGCAUUCUAUGUUUUGUGUUCUAUGUUUUCUAUUUCUAUGUGUUUGGCCUGGUAUGGUUCCCAAUCAGAGGCAGCUGGCAAUCGUUGUCUCUGAUUGAGAACCAUACUUAGGCAGCCUGUUUUCCCACUAUGGGUUGUGGGUAGUUAUUUUCUGUAUGGUGUUUUUGUUGCACCUUACAGAACUGUUUCGUUUUUGUCGUGGUUUCUCCUUGGUUAUUUUUGUGUUCGGUUUAAUAAAUACACCAUGAACACUUACCACGCUGCGCAUUGGUCUGAUCCAUCCUAUUCCUCAUCAGAAGAGGAAGACAAUCGUUACAGCGUCCCCAUGAUUGAUGGGGGUUAGAGUCCGGCUCCCACGUCUCAUUGGUCUGUCCCAGACUCUGGACCUGAUUCUGACUGGACGCCCCAUUGGGUCACUGGAGGCCUUUGGAUUGGCUGACAGAGUGGUACUGGGUGGCCGAGGUCAUUCUACAAGGCUGCAGACAAGUUACAGACGAGUUGAAUCAGACGAAUGA